UACGUAGGGUGCAAGCGUUAUCCGGAUUCACUGGGUUUAAAGGGUGCGUAGGUGGGCUAGUAAGUCCGUGGUGAAAUCUCCAAGCUUAACUUGGAAACUGCCGUGGAUACUAUUAGUCUUGAAUAUUGUGGAGGUAAGCGGAAUAUGUCAUGUAGUGGUGAAAUGCUUAGAUAUGACAUAGAACACCGAUAGCGAAGGCAGCUUGCUACACAAUCAUUGACACUGAGGCACGAAAGCGUGGGGAUCAAACAGG
rnacentral:rRNA from 1 species